GACGAACGCUGGCGGCGUGCUUAACACAUGCAAGUCGAACGGAAAGGCCUCUUUCGGGGGGUACUCGAGUGGCGAACGGGUGAGUAACACGUGAGUAACCUGCCCUUGACUUUGGGAUAACUUCAGGAAACUGGGGCUAAUACCGGAUAGGAGCUCCUGCUGCAUGGUGGGGGUUGGAAAGUUUCGGCGGUUGGGGAUGGACUCGCGGCUUAUCAGCUUGUUGGUGGGGUAGUGGCUUACCAAGGCUUUGACGGGUAGUCGGCCUGAGAGGGUGACCGGCCACAUUGGGACUGAGAUACGGUCCAGACUCCUACGGGAGGCAGCAGGGGGGAAUAUUGCACAAUGGGUGGAAGCCUGAUGCAGCAACGCCGUGUGCGGGAUGACGGCCUUCGGGUUGUAAACCGCUUUCGCUCAUGACGAAGCUUUGUGUGACGGUAGUGGGUAAAGAAGCACCGGCUAACUACGUG
rnacentral:rRNA from 1 species